GACGAACGCUGGCGGCGUGCUUAACACAUGCAAGUCGAACGAUGAAGCGGUGCUUGCACCGUGGAUUAGUGGCGAACGGGUGAGUAACACGUGAGUAACCUGCCCUCUACUCUGGGAUAACUCCGGGAAACCGGUGCUAAUACUGGAUAUGACCUUGUCCUGCAUGGGACGGGGUGGAAAGAUUUAUCGGUGGUGGAUGGACUCGCGGCCUAUCAGCUUGUUGGUGGGGUAAUGGCCUACCAAGGCGACGACGGGUAGCCGGCAUGAGAGGGUGAACGGCCACACUGGGACUGAGAGACGGGCCAGACUCCUACGGGAGGCAGCAGUGGGGAAUAUUGCACAAUGGGCGAAAGCCUGAUGCAGCGACGCCGCGUGCGGGAUGACGGCCUUCGGGUUGUAAACCGCUUUCAGCUCUGACGAAGCUUUUGUGACGGUAGGAGCAGAAGAAGCACCGGCUAACUACGUGCCAGCCGCCGCCGUAAGAC
rnacentral:rRNA from 1 species